rnacentral:rRNA from 1 species
UUGGAGGGCAAGUCUGGUGCCAGCAGCCGCGGUAAUUCCAGCUCCAAUAGCGUAUAUCAAAGUUGUUGCAGUUAAAAAGCUCGUAGUUGAAUUUCGGGAUCAAUAUUUCGGUCAUGCCGUUGGUAUGCACUGUUAUCAUUGAUUUCUCACCUUCUAAAGAACCGUAAUGCCAUUAAUUUGGUGUUACGUGGAAUUAGGACUGUUACCUUGAAAAAAUUAGAGUGUUUAAAGCAGGCUCACGCUUGAAUACAUUAGCAUGGAAUAAUGAAAUAGGACAUCCGAUUCUAUUUUGUUGGUUUCUAGGAUCGAUGUAAUGAUUAAUAGGGAUAGUUGGGGGCAUUAGUAUUCAAUUGUCAGAGGUGGAAUUCUUGGAUUUAUUGAAGACUAACUACUGCGAAAGCAUUUGCCAAGGAUGUUUUCAUUAAUCAAGAACGAAAGUUAGGGGAUCGAAGACGAUCAGAUACCGUCGUAGUCUUAACCAUAAACUAUGCCGACUAGGGAUCGGAUGAUGUUAAUUUUUUAAUGACUCAUUCGGCGCCUUACGGGAAAC